AUCUAGAUAGUUUAAAUUUAGAAUUAUAAUUUGUGGUAUUAUAGGUGUAAUAUUACUCUGGAUU
rnacentral:tRNA from 1 species